CUACCCAAGUCCUAUAAAACUGACCCACCCCAUCUCCCUUUGCUGACUCUCUUUUCAGACUCAGCCCACUUGCACCCAAGUGAAAUAAACAGCCUUGUUGCUCACACACAGCCUAUUGGUGGGCUCUCUUCACACGGACGUGCAUGACAUUUGGUGCCAAAGACCCGGGACAGGAGGACCCCUUCAGGAGACCGGUCCCCUGUCCUCACCCUCACUCCAUGAGGAGAUCCACCUACGACCUCAGGUCCUCAGACCAGCCUAAGGAACAUCUCACCAAUUUUAAAUCCGAAGACAGGAAUGUCAGGCCUCUGAGCUGAAGCUAAGCCAUCAUAACCCCUGUGACCUGCACGUAUACAUCCAGAUGGCCUGGAGCAACUGAAGAACCACAAAAGAGGACAUUUCACUAUUGUGAUUUGUUCCUGCCCCACCCCAACUAAUCAAUCAACCUUGUGACAUUCCUUCUCCUAGACAAUGAGUCUCAUGAUCUCCGCACCGUGCACCUUGUGACCCCGCCCCUGCCCCCAAGAGAUAACCACCUUUAACUGUAAUUUUCCACUACCUACCCAAAUCCUAUAAAACUGCCCCACCCCA